rnacentral:rRNA from 1 species
GACGAACGCUGGCGGCGUGCCUAAUACAUGCAAGUUGAGCGCUGAAGGUUGGUACUUGUACCAACUGGAUGAGCAGCGAACGGGUGAGUAACGCGUGGGGAAUCUGCCUUUGAGCGGGGGACAACAUUUGGAAACGAAUGCUAAUACCGCAUAAAAACUUUAAACACAAGUUUUAAGUUUGAAAGAUGCAAUUGCAUCACUCAAAGAUGAUCCCGCGUUGUAUUAGCUAGUUGGUGAGGUAAAGGCUCACCAAGGCGAUGAUACAUAGCCGACCUGAGAGGGUGAUCGGCCACAUUGGGACUGAGACACGGCCCAAACUCCUACGGGAGGCAGCAGUAGGGAAUCUUCGGCAAUGGACGAAAGUCUGACCGAGCAACGCCGCGUGAGUGAAGAAGGUUUUCGGAUCGUAAAACCCUGUUGGUAGAGAAGAACGUUGGUGAGAGUGGAAAGCUCAUCAAGUGACGGUAACUACCCAGAAAGGGACGGCUAACUACGU